rnacentral:rRNA from 1 species
UACGUGGGGUGCAAGCGUUAAUCGGAAUUACUGGGCGUAAAGCGUGCGCAGGCGGUUAUGCAAGACAGAGGUGAAAUCCCCGGGCUCAACCUGGGAACUGCCUUUGUGACUGCAUGGCUAGAGUACGGUAGAGGGGGAUGGAAUUCCGCGUGUAGCAGUGAAAUGCGUAGAUAUGCGGAGGAACACCGAUGGCGAAGGCAAUCCCCUGGGCCUGCACUGACGCUCAUGCACGAAAGCGUGGGGAGCAAACAGG